rnacentral:rRNA from 1 species
UACGAAGGGGGCUAGCGUUGUUCGGAAUUACUGGGCGUAAAGCGCACGUAGGCGGUUACUUAAGUCAGGGGUGAAAUCCCGGGGCUCAACCCCGGAACUGCCUUUGAUACUGGGUAUCUCGAGUCCGGAAGAGGUGAGUGGAAUUCCGAGUGUAGAGGUGAAAUUCGUAGAUAUUCGGAGGAACACCAGUGGCGAAGGCGGCUCACUGGUCCGGUACUGACGCUGAGGUGCGAAAGCGUGGGGAGCAAACAGG